GAUGAACGCUGGCGGCGUGCCUAAUACAUGCAAGUCGAGCGCACGGACGAGAAGCUUGCUUCUCUGAUGUUAGCGGCGGACGGGCGAGUAACACGUGGAUAACCUACCUAUAAGACUGGGAUAACUUCGGGAAACCGGAGCUAAUACCGUAUAAUAUUUUGAACCGCAUUGUUCAAAAGUGAAAGACGGUCUUGUUGUCACUUAUAGAUGGAUCCGCGCUGCAUUAGCUAGUGGGUAAGGUAACGGCUUACCAAGGCAACGAUGCAUAGCCGACCUGAGAGGGUGAUCGGCCACACUGGAACUGAGACACGGUCCGGACUCCUACGGGAGGAAGCAGUAGGGAAUCUUCCGCAAUGGGCGAAAGCCUGACGGAGCAACGCCGCGUGAGUGAUGAAGGUCUUCGGAUCGUAAAACUCUGUUAUUAGGGAAGAACAUAUGUGUAAGUAACUGUGCACAUCUUGACGGUACCUAAUCAGAAAGCCACGGCUAACUACGUG
rnacentral:rRNA from 1 species